rnacentral:antisense_RNA from 1 species
AGUAACCAAAUAUAAUGCUUGGAUCGAGAGUGGGAUUGCUUAUUAAUCGGACGUUACCAAGAUUAGCAUCAUAAAUUCCACCAAAGAACAUCGCUUUUAACACCAAAAGAAAUGCACCUAAACCUAAAACAAUCAAAUGGUUGCCUAAAAUAAAACCUAACUUUUUGGGAUCGUUCCA